AUUUUAAUAGCUUAUAUUAGAGCAUAAUAUUGAAGAUAUUAAGGAGAUUUUGGUCUUAAAAUA
rnacentral:tRNA from 1 species